AACGAACGCUGGCGGCAUGCCUAACACAUGCAAGUCGAACGAACCCUUCGGGGUUAGUGGCGCACGGGUGCGUAACACGUGGGAAUCUGCCCUUAGGUUCGGAAUAACAGUUAGAAAUGACUGCUAAUACCGGAUGAUGACUUCGGUCCAAAGAUUUAUCGCCUAAGGAUGAGCCCGCGCAGGAUUAGCUAGUUGGUGAGGUAAAGGCUCACCAAGGCUACGAUCCUUAGCUGGUCUGAGAGGAUGAUCAGCCACACUGGGACUGAGACACGGCCCAGACUCCUACGGGAGGCAGCAGUGGGGAAUAUUGGACAAUGGGCGAAAGCCUGAUCCAGCAAUGCCGCGUGAGUGAUGAAGGCCCUAGGGUUGUAAAGCUCUUUUACCCGGGAUGAUAAUGACAGUACCGGGAGAAUAAGCUCCGGCUAACUCCGUGC
rnacentral:rRNA from 1 species